UAUAAAAUGGGUAAGUCUAAGUAUCGUUUCCCAAAGGACUCUUAGGCCUUAACUUUCGUGUAACCUAAUUGCGUAAGACUUAAGAAGAAAUUGAUUUUAAGUUUUUAAAUGCAAAAACAAAAGUAAACAUGCAAAUGCAGUGAAUCAAUGGUUGAGGAAAAACUAUGGAUGAAUGGUGUUGUUGGGGUUUACAAUUUCAUCUUAUCCACCCUCAUAUAUCUACUCUUCUUAUUUAAUUCGCUUAUUUAUCAUAUUACCAUGCAAACUUUCUUGGUCUACCCUUAACCGAAUCCCUUGGCGGAAAGAGCCUAUUACUAAUUAUUGGCUUGCUAUCUUUAGCCUCCCCUAGUAACUAAUAAUGCAUAAUAUACGGAAGCAAAAUACAAUUGAUCGUCCUACCCCUAUCUCUAGGCGGUAUUAGCAUAAUCAAGGAAUUCCC
rnacentral:lncRNA from 1 species